rnacentral:lncRNA from 10 species
CAAAGGAGAAAACUUCUAACCUGGUACUCCUGGGAGAAGAUGCUCAGCAGAGUGGCCUGCGAUUGACUGGAACAAAUAAAAGAAGGACAAAGUUAAUUACUGGAGUGCACGGCAAAGAAACAAAAGAGAAAGGAGCUUCAAAGGUUCACAAGAAAUGUGGUUGCCAGCUAAAGAGGAGAGGAGAAAGAUUCUGUGCAACUGAAAGGUCUACCUUAAACAUCACAGUCCAACAUUCAACAGUACCACAGUGCAUCUACAAUGUCCCAAGCUUUAGCUCCGCACCCUACAGCUGUCUGGGUAAAGGAGAGCAUGUGAGUGGACCCAAAGAAUGGCUAGGUAAAGCCCUGUCCAAGUCUAGAACAGCAACAGCCAUGCUGCAGCAAUGUGGAAACAGACCUGAAGAAAAAACUAGCACUGUGAGGAUGGCAGACGGAAGAUGGAAAGAGCUUGGGUCCUUGAGGACACUGUGGAACUGCUGAAGAGACCAUGGAAUUGAGCUGACCAGCCUCCAUUCUUAUUCUGUGUAAUUAUACAUGUCUAUUUUUUUAAAUCUCCAAACCAAAGAAAUAAAACUCUUCCCAGGCUUCUGUGUUCUCUAGUAAGGUGGAGGCAUGAUGAAGGGCUUUGAGACAAGGUGCUCCAUAAUGGUGGCACAUGUACAAGAUGGAACACUUGAGAGGGAUUGUCCAUUUCCAUAAUUUCUAGUUCUCCCCUUAGCUGAUGGCUAUAAUUGGCUUCCCUAAAAUUUUUCCUCUGUCUGUGCCUGACUCACUAAAUUGACGUGCCUAGAGAUCCUAAACUGGUGUGUGAUUUUCCCAUAUAGAGUUUAAACAUUAACGGGGUACUAUUUCUUCUCAUGUUAUAUUGCAUUCAACGUUUUUCAAAUGCCUGAUAUAAAAACAGGCAACAAACUAGUUCCUCAUGUGAUAUUUAACUAAAUGUGCUCCCAAGUCCACCCAGCUAAGAUACUCGGUAACAUGAAAGAGCCUCAAAGAGUUGGGAGAGUGUAGCACAGAUUAAGAGGAGAGCUGAGCACAGACUUAAUUGCAAUGCAACAUUCAUGCAAGGGUAAGGUCCUUAUGUUUUCAGAUGGACAGCUAAAGCAUGCAGAACCUUAAGAGAAGACAUCACGUAUUUUAUGUUCCUCCUCUUCUUGAGUAUGCAAUCUCUGAAAAAGACCACAAGGAAGUAAAUACCUUUACCUUAAAGCUCCUUUUCUAUAGAAUCUAGGAAGCUUAAAUGUGUACACUCUACUGGGCUCAACAUUCUCUGAGAAAAAUAAAUAUUAUUUCUGGAGCUUGGGAAGAAGCAAACCAAUUAAAGAAAGAUAAAGCAGGAUACUCCUACAAAGCAUUAUACUUGGAUAUACUUGGACAUCUCACAAUUGCUAGGCACAACCUCUCUAAACCUGUGAAGAAUACAAUGGAACACCAGCUGUCUGUAGUUAAUGAUUCAGAGUGCUGGUCAAGGCGUAUUUUCUAUAAAAGCAAUGCAGCUACAAUCUCUUGACCUCCCCCAACGCCCCCUGCCACACACACACAUACCACACACAAAUUUGAAAUGUAGAGCCAUUUUUCUCUCUAAAAUUAAAACAGAAUUCAACAAUACUACACAAACUUUGAUAUAAUACUACUACAAACUUUGCUUAUUUUUUAGGAACAAAAUGCAAAAUGGAAAUCUGGAGGGAGAUUACUGAUACACUGGGAAAUUACUGAGGGGGGAAAAGGGAAAAAUCUGUAAACUAAAUUCAAGACAUAAAGAAAAAUGUAUCCAUCCUAUCUCCCACCCUAUGUCUUCUCUUCCUAAUUUCCAACUGCAUAUCAAGGAUGCAAACAUUUUAUGCCUAACCACA